rnacentral:ncRNA from 23 species
AUGGGAGAGGUUCGAGAUCUUCCCUCUAUAAAAAACUAAGGAGCU